rnacentral:rRNA from 1 species
UACGUAGGUGGCGAGCGUUGUCCGGAAUCACUGGGCGUAAAGGGCGCGUAGGCGGCUGGACAAGUCGCAUGUGAAGGACCAGGGCUCAACCCUGGGAGGUCAUGCGAAACUGUCUGGCUUGAGUGCAGUAGAGGUAAGCGGAAUUCCUGGUGUAGCGGUAAAAUGCGUAGAGAUCAGGAGGAACACCGGUGGCGAAGGCGGCUUACUGGGCUGCAACUGACGCUGAUGCGCGAAAGCGUGGGGAGCAAACAGG